AAGCUUCCCAAAGAUGCCAGCAAGGUGCUAACAGAUAGUGAAGAUAUGAAUGACAUCAUGACAGACAGGAAACGAUAUAAGCGUCGGAAGAGGCGUUAUGGCCGGCGAAGAGACAGCAAGGGCUCUGAGGCAGCUCAAGACAAAAGAGACACUAUAGAGGAUAAAACCAAAUCAACUGUCUUGAAUAGCCCAAUACUUCCUCUGGAAAAAUCAAAGAAUGUGAAGGACCAUGGCAAAGAGAAGCCAAAUAACAGCAAUAAAGACAAAGUCCUAGAUUUAUUACAGGACAGAGAAGCCCUGAGUAAGCAGAUUGAAAAGAAAAAGCUAGAUCCUUGGGAAUCAAAUGGCAAAAGCAGAAACAGGGAUAGACUGAGAG
ensembl:lncRNA